CGCACAUUGCGCCCGCUAGUAUUCUGGCGGGCAUGCCUGUCCGAGCGUCAUUUCAACCCUCAAGCCCCUCCGGGGACUUGGCGUUGGGAAUCGGCCCCACUUACGGGGCCGGCCCCGAAAUUCAGUGGCGGUCUCGCUGCUGCCUCCUCUGCGUAGUAGAAUACACCUCGCACUGGGAAGCGGCGCGGCCACGCCCCUCUCUGUUCAUCAGACAUAUCUUCAAGGUUGACCUCGGAUCAGGUAGGAAUACCCGCUGAACUUAA
rnacentral:misc_RNA from 1 species